AACAGAAUGGUUUUAUCUGAUUUUGUAAAUUAAGACAGACUUUGCCUUUAAGUGUAAACGUUGCAAAGUGUUGCAGCUUAAAAUUUGUGAAAACUGCAUAAUGUUAUGUAUUUCUGCUAGCCCAAUGUAAAUAAGUAAUUGCUGUAAUAAUAGGCUUAUGGACUAGCAUCAUGUUUAGGUGUAUCUCUAGCUUUCUGCUUUCUGUCCACACUGAAAAAAAGGGACUGGCCAUCUCUUGGAUUUAUGUAAGCAUCUUGCAUGCAUUUAACACAAUUGCCUCAUGUUUUAAAGUUAAAUGUAACUAUAUAGUGUAAAAACUACAUGAUAUGCAGAAAGGGUGUAUUAAAUUGUUCAUAUCAUGUUCAGGUGACGUAAGUCAAUAAGAUAGCAACGUUAAAUCUCGUGAAACCACGCGUGAUUUCAUCUCGCGGGCUUUGGAUCGUGGUUUAAAAAAGGCAUCCAUCUCAGUCAAGUCGAGCAGCCAACUCUACGUUUUUGGAGUCAGCUGAUGGAUUGUGGGUUCAAGGUGUUAUGAUAAAAUGCAGCAUUCCAGUGCAUCCCAACCAUGCCUUUACAGUCAAGGUUUCUGACGGAGCUGAGUUUCUCUCUGACAGUCUGCUGAAAGUGUUUGCAAAGUGAUCGGGGGAACAGUGCACAAAGCUAAAGGAUGUAGCUGCCAUUAUGACAUCAAGGAUGACAUUAAUGCUCGGAGUCCCUCAUCAAAGUGCUCCGCAUCUGUGUGAAAGACAAUUGCAACAUCUUGGUGCAGGAGUUCAUGGACUUGACUGAGGCCACUGCACAGAUUGAGAAAACCACAAUGAACAUCUGUCUCCAGAGGAUGCACCAG
ensembl:lncRNA